UCGAGUUUUCAUAUAAUACGAUUUGUAUUUUAGUAUAAGAAAGCUCACCUUGAUCGUUUAAUUCCCUGCACUUGAAUCUUUCGUUUCGACUUUACUUGCGUCUUCAUUCACUAUUUUCGGGCUUCGAUUAAAUUGGAUCUAUGUAUCUUUUUACUUUGAAAAUUUUACUCUUAACCAAAACUCUAAAAUAAAUUGAAAAAUCAAUUAUUUUCACUUAGCUACACAAAACCAUAUAAAAAUAUUAAUGGAACCUUAAUUUAAACUUAGGCUAAAAUUUUAUAUUAAAUUCCUCCAAAAUUAAUUCUAUUUUCGAAACUGAACUAAAAUACAUUACUGCAAUUUCCUCUAUUAAAAGGAGUUGGGCCCAGAUUCAUUCUUUUCACUAAUUCAACCCAAAUGAAUUAUCAUUAGCCCAAUUCUAAUUAAAUUGGUGGCCCCAAAACAUUAAAUUCUCUAGCCCAAAUGAAAGAAAAACUAGCCCAACCCUUAAGCCUAAAAAGAGAAAACCUACGUUAAAAAAAAUAUCCAAGUCUUCUUCCUCCCUCAUUCAUGAACAAUGAACAGCAGCCUCCCUCCCUCUCACACAUCGUCGCCGCCAGCCUCCCUCCGGUGCCGCCGUCGCGCCACCGCCACCUCCGACGGUGGUCCUUCUUCCUCCUUCUUUCUUUCUCCCUUCACCCCCCUUUCUCUCCCGGAGCAGCCUCCCUCUCUCGGUCAGUCCCUCUCCUUCGGUUCAGAUUCGCCGCACCGCUGCCACCGCUGCGGGUCCGCCGUCGUCGCGGGUUCGCGUCCCCGCCGCCAUCACCGAGAACCUCCCCUCCAGCCGCCGACGCGGUUCCCGACAGAUAGGUGGUCGGAAAUUCAAGGAAUGAAAGCAGUGGCUUUCGGAGCGUUGGUUGAUGAUUGUUGGCGACGGAGUGCCGAGCUCGUUGCCAGAAGUUAUUCGGCAGAUUCAUCUCCUAAGAUAAGCAUUUCUAGCUGCCCUAUGUUAUUUCUAUCAUUCAACAGUUGGGGGAAAAAUUUAGGUUUUAGCAUUCAACAAGUUUUGGUGAAUUUUGCAGUCCCUGAUAUAAAAUGUGGUAUAGUGGUUACCUAGCAUGUGUUUCUAUUUUCAUUCCUACUGUAAUUUGAUGUAUGUGCAUAAAGAAAAAGAAAGGAGGCUUGGGGUUACCUUUUUUGAUGUGGGGACGAAGUGUUGUUGGAUGUGGGGAACUUGAUCCUAAAUCAACUCUCAUUCCUCCAUCCUAUGCGAAUUCUUUGGAAAGCUUGAUUGUGAACUCUUUGGAAAGCUUGAUUGUGAUAGGGGUGGAAGUGAUUGUUAUAUCUAUCCAUAUGUAAAAAAAAGUUGCAAGAGACGUGGGCAGCAAGUUGUUGGCAGCAUGUUGCCAACAUACUUUCCCUAAUCAUUCUCCUUUUGUCAGGACAUUUAAUGUUUCUCUGCUAACACUGAAUACAGUAAUAAAUGAUAUGUCAGAAGAUCUAUCCUAAAGGAUCGGCAUCACAUCAGAUUGAGUUACUAUUAUUAUUGCAUUAGAUUAAUCAUUUAGAAAGAAAAUUUUAUUUGCUUAUUGUUUGAUUUGGUGCAGGAAAAAAAAUCCAAUUCCAAUUCGGAGCUGUUCUCGUUGAUGUACCCGAUUUUCUUUAGAACGAAAGAUGUAUUAAAUUAAAUUUUUGUUGGUCUUUUAUUGGAUGUAUCGGACAUUAAAAUUUUGAUUUUGAGAUCUUAUUUAUUUAUUUAAAUUUAUUAUAUUCUAAUAGGUGAAAUA